GCCUGGAUAGCUCAGUAGGUAGAGUAUCAGACUUUCAAUCUGAGGGUCCAGGGUUCAAGUCUCUGUUCAGGCG